CUGCGGAGGAUCAUUACCGAAUNGUCAACAAGAGUUGUUGCUGGUCCUCAAAACAAGGGCAUGUGCACGCUCUGUUUACACAUCCACUCACACCUGUGCACUUUCUGUAGUUCUAUAGUCNGGGAGGCCCCGCCUUCCUUCUGUAGUCCUAUGUCUCUUCACACACACACUC
rnacentral:misc_RNA from 1 species